rnacentral:misc_RNA from 1 species
AACGCACGAGACCUGCGGACCUGCGGAGGGAUCAUUACCGAAGUGGAUGUGGCUGUGGGUUGGCGCGGGCCGGUCUGCAGCCGCACAUUCGUGCUGGGGAGGUGAGGGUGUGGGUGGGGGUGGCAGCGUCGUUGCGGUGUCGCAGCGUCGCUUCCAGUCCCGUCUGCCCGCCCUCGCUUCCGGUGCACAUCUGCGCUUGAUUGUGUGAUGAUCGUGUGACAACCAAACUACUAUACAACU